GAUGAACGCUGGCGGCGUGCCUAAUACAUGCAAGUCGAGCGAACGGACGAGAAGCUUGCUUCUCUGAUGUUAGCGGCGGACGGGUGAGUAACACGUGGAUAACCUACCUAUAAGACUGGGAUAACUUCGGGAAACCGGAUCUAAUACCGGAUAAUAUUUUGAACCGCAUUGUUCAAAAGUUAAAGACGGUCUUGCUGUCACUUAUAGAUGGAUCCGCGCUGCAUUAGCUAGUUGGUAAGGUAACGGCUUACCAAGGCAACGAUGCAUAGCCGACCUGAGAGGGUGAUCGGCCACACUGGAACUGAGACACGGUCCAGACUCCUACGGGAGGCAGCAGUAGGGAAUCUUCCGCAAUGGGCGAAAGCCUGACGGAGCAACGCCGCGUGAGUGAUGAAGGUCUUCGGAUCGUAAAACUCUGUUAUUAGGGAAGAACAUAUGUGUAAGUAACUGUGCACAUCUUGACGGUACCUAAUCAGAAAGCCACGGCUAACUACGUG
rnacentral:rRNA from 1 species